GAUCCUGGCUCAGAUUGAACGCUGGCGGCAGGCCUAACACAUGCAAGUCGAACGGUAACGGGAAGCAGCUUGCUGCUUUGCUGACGAGUGGCGGACGGGUGAGUAAUGUCUGGGAAACUGCCUGAUGGAGGGGGAUAACUACUGGAAACGGUAGCUAAUACCGCAUAACGUCGCAAGACCAAAGAGGGGGACCUUAGGGCCUCUUGCCAUCGGAUGUGCCAGAUGGGAUUAGCUAGUAGGUGGGG
rnacentral:rRNA from 1 species